UGUGUUUUGUUAAGACUUGAUUUUACUAAUUUCUUUGUUUUUUUUUCUUUCUCUGAACUUUUUGUAAAUCCCUGAAAUGGGAAUGAAAAUACUGCAUUGCUUUAUAAUAAAGAUGCUAUGUAAUUGCAAGUCAAUAAAAUUUUGAUAAAUGCAAGUUGUUGUGAAGCAAUAAUCUAUAGAAAAUGAUGGACUGUUUUGGUCAGUGUUGAUUCACUCCAUUUUUGAUGAGAAUAAAAAUACAUUUCUUAUAAACUGUUCUUGUUUUUAAGGCUCUCAGAUUUUCUACCUAGUGUAUGAAAAGUACAGUACUGUUGUUGGAAUAGGAGCAAACAGUGUGGUAUCUAUGGUCCACCAUCACUUCAAGCAUCAUGGCUAUGGAGAAAAGAAUGUUUCAUUAUAUAUGGACAAUUAUAGUGGACAAAAUAAAAAAAGUGUUGUAAUAAGUUAUGGAAUGUGGCUUGUUAUGAUGGGUCUACAUGAUGACUUGGACUACAACCUGAUGGAGGCCAGGCAUACAGAAUUCAGUCCUGAACAUGUUUAGAAUAUCUUCUGCAUGGCCUGGUAUAGUAUUCUUGAAGGAUUACAACUUCAACCCGGAGACGGAGAUUAAUAUUUUAGGCAGGGGGUUGGUAUGACGGGCAAAUUCCCCAACCCUAUUAACAUUCCUGAGCUGUCAACAGUGGUACCUGUAUAAUGAAAUAGCGCCCCUUUGCAGCAACAGUAGUGUAUGCUCAAAUCCAGCAGUGCCAAAGCCAAAAUUGAAAACUCAGUCAUUUAAAACGCAGAAUAAAGAAAUAAAAGUGUUUAAUUAAAGUAGUACAGAGAAAGAGCUCAGCUCAUUUGGUAUUUUCUGAAAUUUUAAUUAAUUUGAAAGCGUUUUUGAUUUUUUAAAGAUGUACUAGACCCAAAUUCCAUUUAAUAGAAUAUGUAACAAGUUUAUGGUGUCAACAGUACAAAGCACUGGUUCAAUAUAGACACACUGUAUCUGAACACAGUAUAAAUGUGAAAGUCCUUUAAAACACUGGAAGAUUUUUCAACAAUCUACUGUUUAGUACUGCAUGACAUAAAAUCAUAAAUGUAGCUGUACAUACACAGUUGAUUUAUACAUUAAGGGGACGCAUACUUUGAAAUUAGAAAAAAGUGGGUGGGGUAUGAUAAAAUUUACCUGCAAAAAAGUACAAGGUUUUGGUAUAUGAAAUGGAUACUGUUUCAACUGUUAUAAGUACACAAAGGAUUGCUCACUAAAAUAAAAAUGAGAAAACUGAAACAAGAAAGUUAUUGUUGAAUUACAUAAGACUUAUUGUGUACAUUCAAAGUCAACAAUUAAGACCUUUUGGUGCGAAAAUAAUAGUGCUUCACCUUGUCCAAACAUUUAUCAAUGUCCUACAGAUUCUAAUUUAAAGAAAGAAUGUGAAAUAUGGUCACUAUCUUGCUUUUCAUUUCGCAUAUGUAAGCUAAAACACAUUAUUUAGUUUGUUUACAAAGUAGUGCAUAAGAAAAGAUACGGUGGUCAAGGAAUGCCACAUUCCAAAACUAAAAGAGUAUAUUCCCCUUAAUACAUUAAACAUUUAACGUUACAGAAGUCUAGUGGCUUACAAUAAGGGCCUAGAAAUGUUGCCAUUAUUAAUUUUUAACUUUGUAUUCAUGAACUACAAUGCACUUAAAUAUCAAAACACAUUCAACAAACUUUUGAAAAUGUAUUGUCUUAAAAAUCCCUAAAAUAAGGUAUGAAAUUUGGUUGGGAGGUCCAAUCAAUGUGUAUAUGUGC